rnacentral:rRNA from 1 species
GAUGAACGCUGGCGGCGUGCCUAAUACAUGCAAGUCGAGCGAACAGACGAGGAGCUUGCUCCUCUGACGUUAGCGGCGGACGGGUGAGUAACACGUGGAUAACCUACCUAUAAGACUUGGAUAACUUCGGGAAACCGGAGCUAAUACCGGGUAAUAUAUCGAACCGCAUGGUUCAAUAGUGAAAGAUGGUUUUUCCGUCACUUAUAGAUGGAUCCGCGCCGCAUUAGGUAGUUGGUAAGGUAACGGCUUACCAAGGCGACGAUGCGUAGCCGAGCUGGGAGGGUGAUCGGCCACACUGGAGCUGGGACAGCGUCCAGACUCCUACGGGAGGCAGCAGUAGGGAAUCUUCCGCAAUGGGCGAGAGCCUGACGGAGCAACGCCGAGUGAGUGAUGAAGGUCUUCGGUUCGGAAAACUCUGUUAUUAGGGAAGAACAAAUGUGUAAGUAACUAUGCACGUCGUGACGGUACCUAAUCAGAAAGCCACGGCUAACUACGUG